rnacentral:rRNA from 1 species
UACGAAGGGGGCUAGCGUUGCUCGGAAUCACUGGGCGUAAAGCGCACGUAGGCGGACUCUUAAGUCGGUGGUGAAAUCCUGGAGCUCAACUCCAGAACUGCCUUCGAUACUGAGAGUCUCGAGUCCGGGAGAGGUGAGUGGAACUUCGAGUGUAGAGGUGAAAUUCGUAGAUAUUCGCAAGAACACCAGUGGCGAAGGCGGCUCACUGGCCCGGUACUGACGCUGAGGUGCGAAAGCGUGGGGAGCAAACAGG